rnacentral:rRNA from 1 species
GGAAGUGCCUCGCAAGAGGAGCCUGGAGACAGGUGCUGCAUGGCCGUCGUCAGCUCGUGUCGUGAGAUGUUGGGUUAAGUCCCGCAACGAGCGCAACCCUUGUCUUUAGUUGCCAUCAUUCAGUUGGGCACUCUAAAGAGACUGCCGGUGUCAAACCGGAGGAAGGUGGGGAUGACGUCAAGUCCUCAUGGCCUUUAUGACCAGGGCUACACACGUACUACAAUGGCCGGUACAAAGGGCAGCCACUUAGCGAUAAGGAGCCAAUCCCGUAAAGCCGGUCUCAGUCCGGAUUGGAGUCUGCAACUCGACUCCAUGAAGUUGGAAUCGCUAGUAAUCGCAGAUCAGCACGCUGCGGUGAAUACGUUCCCGGGCCUU